rnacentral:rRNA from 1 species
ACGGAGGGUGCAAGCGUUAUCCGGAUUCGCUGGGUUUAAAGGGUGCGUAGGCGGACAGGUAAGUCAGUGGUGAAAUCUCUGAGCUUAACUCAGAAACUGCCGUUGAUACUAUUUGUCUUGAAUAUCAUGGAGGUAAGCGGAAUAUGUCAUGUAGCGGUGAAAUGCUUAGAUAUGACAUAGAACACCGAUAGCGAAGGCAGCUUACUACAUGGAGAUUGACGCUGAGGCACGAAAGCGUGGGGAGCAAACAGGA